rnacentral:rRNA from 1 species
GACGAACCGUGCGAACGUUGUUCGGAAUCACUGGGCUUAAAGGGCGCGUAGGCGGGCUUAAAAGUCAGGGGUGAAAUCCCGCGGCUCAACCGUGGAAGUGCCUCUGAUACUGUAAGUCUCGAGGGAGGUAGGGGCGUGCGGAACUUCCGGUGGAGCGGUGAAAUGCGUAGAUAUCGGAAGGAACACCGGUGGCGAAGGCGGCUCACUGGUCCGGUACUGACGCUGAGGUGCGAAAGCGUGGGGAGCAAACAGG